AACGAACGCUGGCGGCAUGCCUAACACAUGCAAGUCGAACGAGACCUUCGGGUCUAGUGGCGCACGGGUGCGUAACGCGUGGGAACCUGCCCUUAGGUUCGGAAUAACUCCCCGAAAGGGGUGCUAAUACCGGAUAAUGUCUUCGGACCAAAGAUUUAUCGCCUUUGGAUGGGCCCGCGUUGGAUUAGCUAGUUGGUAGGGUAAAAGCCUACCAAGGCGACGAUCCAUAGCUGGUCUGAGAGGAUGAUCAGCCACACUGGGACUGAGACACGGCCCAGACUCCUCCGGGAGGCAGCAGUGGGGAAUAUUGGACAAUGGGCGAAAGCCUGAUCCACCAAUGCCGCGUGAGUGAUGAAGGCCUUAGGGUUGUAAAGCUCUUUUACCCGGGAUGAUAAUGACAGUACCGGGAGAAUAAGCUCCGGCUAACUCCGUG
rnacentral:rRNA from 1 species